GGGGGUGUAGCUCAUCUGGUAGAGCGCGUGCUUAGCAUCUCCAGGAGUCGUUCUUCUUCUGAGCGACAUACCGGUACAUGUUACCUGCACGAGGUACUGGGUUCGACUCCCAGCUCCUCCA
rnacentral:tRNA from 1 species